rnacentral:rRNA from 1 species
UACGAAGGGGGCGAGCGUUGUUCAGAAUUACUGGGCGUAAAGGGCGCGCAGGCGGCUCUGAAAGUCAGAUGUGAAAGCCCCGGGCUUAACCUGGGAAUUGCAUUUGAUACUCUGGAGCUUGAGUGUGGGAGAGGAGAGUGGAAUUCCCAGUGUAGAGGUGAAAUUCGUAGAUAUUGGGAAGAACACCAGUGGCGAAGGCGGCUCUCUGGACCACAACUGACGCUGAGGCGCGAAAGCGUGGGGAGCAAACAGG